GUACCAGAAUUCCAAAUUGGAACAGUAUGUACGUUUUUUUUCUUUAUUACAAAGACAAAAAAAAGCAAGGGAUAUGCAUAGAAGAAAACAACUACUUUUGAGCCUCCAACCAUACUUAACUAGAAAUAAUGUCACAGUGGCUUAAUUAAUUAAGACACUCACUAUUGCUACAUAUCUACCUACUCAGUAGUCAGUACCCAAGACAGCUCCAACAGCACUUGGUUAAGAAUAUGUCUCAUGGGAAAUAUAAUCUCAUCAGCAUAACCUUCCCAAUUGCCUCCAAAGAAAACCACUCAUGUGUCUUGUAUCUCUAGAAUCUUGUACCUCUAUUUUUAGUGUUUCACUGCCAAAUAUUAAGAAUUCACGCCUGCAAAAAACAACAAAAAUUAGGAAUCUGCCAUCGGAAGUUAUUUCUCAAUGAACAACCUUGUCCUCCUCCAGUUUCUUUUUAUUUCUAGACUAGUUCCUGUUCAGCACUUCUGUUCCCAACAGAGGGGCCCGACCAACAAUACGAUAUGCACAGAAAUAUAAUUAUUCACUCUGGGGCGGCAUGGUUAGGAUAUAAUGCUAGUAGAUCAUGGCAAUGCCUGUUGUAGGAGGAGGCGGAUGGCACUACAAAGUGGAGUGUAGCAGGUAUGAGCUUUCUUGCGCAAAAGGUCUACAUGUGCAUGCCUGCUUGGAUGGAUGCCUUGAAAAGCGAUUGACAAGUUGUUAGGCUGAACCUACCGAUGUGCUGGGCUAAAUUUGCAGCUUAGACCACAUUUGCAUUUCCAGGUUUCGACUAGAUUAAGGAAAGUGCCACAUACACAGCAAGAUCCCGGGUUCGUGCCUUCCCCAAACGAGUACUUUUUUUUUCUUGGAAAAUAACUGAAACCAGUUCAGAUUGAAAUACUGAAAUCAUGGCUGUCAUGAGCGUUUGCUAUUAUUGAGAGCAUGCAUGGGCCGACCAACAAUAUUAUACUCCCUCCGUCUCAAAAUAAAUGUCUCAACUUUGUAUUAACUUUAGUACAAAGUUGUACUAAGCUUGAGACAUUUAUUUUGAGCCGGAGGGAGUAUCUAUCAAUGUUUUAAAUAGCCGGCUAUAGCUCCGCUAUAGCUCGGCUAUAGCCUUUUCAGCAGGGUGGCGCUAAAUGGUCGCCUUUAUAAAUAGCCCGCUAUAUCCCGUUAUAACUUCGCUAUAGCUGUUUUUGGAGGCCCGCUGCUAUUUCCUAUAGCCCGCUAUUUAAAACAUUGGUAUCUAUUUAAUAUUAAGGUUCUAUCCAUUAUCCAAUCAACUAAUACUUUAAUAAUACAUCAUCCAACGCCUGCUUUAUGAGGAGGUGGAUGCCAAGUGCAAAGCUUUAUUGUCAGGAUCUGUACCUGAAACCUGAAGAAUCAACAGUUAACUCUGAAGAAUGUAAGACACAGCCUGUUUUGUUACAGCACCAUGUACAGUUUACAUAUUCGCGCCGCUGGGCUAUCUCGCUGCUAUUGGGGAUGCAUCCGAUGGCUACCAGUUUCCUAAACAUCUCGGUUAACAUUUUCGACAACAGCUUUACUGCAAUUUAGAUUUACUUUUACCAUAUUCUUUUGCCUCUGGAUGUAAGCUUAAUGGGUUGGGUGCAGCACUGGGCAUCCCUCCUUGUAUUCAGUUAAAUCCUGGCCGCCCCUUGUACGGGUUGGGCCUCAACUUUGCUCUGUGAUCUUCUAAUCCAUCUCUCUAAAUCACUCCCAAACUUAUCUAUUUUCUUUGCCUAAAAAAAACUUUUCUCUGUGCUCUGAAAAUAACUCCCAAAGUUAUCUAUUUUCUCUGUGUUAUUGUCUGAAUCCUGCAACUAGCCUCUGAAAUUCAGUUGCAAAAAUACGGAACUGAAACCAUCUCAGAUUCAUUACCGAAAAGGGAGAACUCACAGGGAACACCGCGUCGCGGGGCAAGUACCAUCGUUCGCGCCUCCCCACCCUCCGUGCGCUGCACUGCGGCGACGACGACCGCCGUCGGCGACCAGCCGACCACAGGCUCCGCGAGGCACAAGGCCGCAGCAGCGGCCAGCGGAAGGAGGGCAAGGGAUGGUCCGUGGCCGCCGCCAUGGGUAGGUGUCCCUGCAGCCUCGUGGUUGGAGGACGAACCAACGAGAUUGGGGAUUGGUUUUUAGGCUGGUUGUAA
rnacentral:lncRNA from 1 species